AGCAGUCACCAAUCAGCAUAGGAUAUGAAGAGCAGGAAAAAAUAUAUCCUAUGCUGAUUGGUGACUGCU
rnacentral:miRNA from 1 species